AAUGAACGCUGGCGGCGUGCUUAACACAUGCAAGUCGAACGGCAAGGCCACAGCUUGCUGUGGUACUCGAGUGGCGGACGGGUGCGUAACACGUGGGCGCUCUGCCCUGUACUUCGGUAUAAGCUUGCGAAGCUGGGUCUAAUCCCGGAUCGCAAUCACAUGUGGGUGUGUGGUUGGAAAGCUUUUGCGGUAUGGGAUGUGAUCGCGGCCUAUCCGCUUGUUGGUGGGGUAGUGGUCUACCAAGGCGUCGACGGCUAGCCGGCCUGAGAGGGAGUACGGCCACAUGGGGACUACGAGAAGGCGCAGUCGCCUACAGGAGGCAGCAGGGGGGAAUAUUGCACAAUGGUAGCGAGCGGGUUACAGCGACCUUGCGGGGGUGAAGACGGCCUUUGGGUAGUAAACUCCAUCCGUCAGGUACGAAGCGAAAGUGACGGUACCUAGAGAAGAAGCACCGGCUAACUACGUG
rnacentral:rRNA from 1 species